ACAUCACAUUGCCACUUCCAAUAUACCAAUACCAUGUUAAAAACAAACAACCUUAAACCUGAAGGAGAGCCCCAAUUUAUUGAAGCUUUAAACCUCUUCCUCAAAACCCAGCAAAUUAGUUAACAAAACCAUUCACUUAAUUUGUUAAGUUCAUGGGUUCUCCUCCUACAAAAUACUUGGUCUCCAUUCUCACCACCUUAUUUCUUUUUCUUGUACUAUCAUGCAACUUCACUAGCACCAAUGCUUACACUCUUGCUACCGGAGAGAAAUGGCCGCCUGCAAGAAGAAUGUUAGGGAACCGAGUUCCGGCGGGCGCCAAUCCGCCACCGGCAUGGCAUACGCCGGUGACUACCCUCCCCGGCUCCGCCCCCCCUCCCUGCCCCUACAGUCAUUACACAAAGUUAAACUAAACUAAGACCUCUAUAAUUAUGCCAUUAGUAUUAAUCUCUGUACUUAUGUACUUAAGAGAGAGAGAGAGAGAGAGAGAGAGAGAGAUUUGUAGCCUGUUUUGUAACUUAAUGUUACUAGACUAUAGAUAAAAUAAAGUAGAGCGAAAUUAUAUUUCCCAACUGGAGGUUGCAGGAAUCAUAUAUAGUUUGAUCAUAUGUGUACGUGUGAUUUAGCGGCAUGCAUGUUAUUAUUUACAGAAAUAAAUAAAAUAAUUUUCUAUUAUACUUUGUCGCGUGGUGCAUUAUGCAUCUUGAUUUGUUGUAAUCAUAUGUUUUUUUUUUUGGGGAUCCCCGGCACCGAUCUCUCCCCGCUCCUACUCUCUCCGAUCCCCUCCGACCUCGCCGGAGCUUCGCCGGAGGCGGCGUCCGCGGUGGCGGAGGUGGCGGCGGCGUGCCGCGAGUGGGGGUUCCUCCAGGUGGUGAACCACGGGGUGCCGAUCGAGGCGGUAGAGCGCGUGGCGGCGGCGGAGAGGGCGUUCUUCGCGUCGGCGCCGGAGGAGAAGCGACGCGAGGGGGACAGCCCGACCUGACACAAGCUGUUUUGACGCAACCCAAGUCUGUGGGCCUUACUGAUGUUGGCCUUGAUCUCGAAGACCCCGUGGGAACCGACCCAAUCACAGGAACUAACCUGGAAUGCUGCGCGGAACGUUUGGGAGGGGAUACUAACAGGUUGUUCAGUGCGGCAGGUGAUGGCUUGAGGAGUUCUGAUGGCUACAGCGAGGCCAUUUCUGCAGAAUUACAAGGGGAUUUGAACCAUGGAUGUGCCCCCACGACGUAUUAUAUUCCAUCAGUGUCACUAGAAAGAGUGCCCGUCUCUCUAGCCGUGACAACAUUUUUGCUUUGGAGAGGGCGAUUUCACGCAAAGUUUUUCUGAGGGAAGGAGAAAUGCCUGCUGUAGCAACCCCUAAGCGCAAGGCGCAGAAGGGGUUGACGAAGAAGGUCACACCUGCUGAUGCUGGCGAUGUGGGGCUCGGCAAGAUUAAGAACAAAAGCGCCAAGUGUGGGAUCCUCCUCACUCACGAGGAGGCCAGCAGCUUUAUGGAGUUUCAGUGCGUCACCCAUUAGAUAGUCUCUGGUGAGGGUGUUGCUUUGGUAGAGGUGGUUUCUUAGUGUGUCAUGUUCCAGUUAUGUAGUUGGAAUGUUAGAGGUCUAAACGACCGAAAUAAAAGAUGUCUCGUGAAGUCGGUAGUGUCUAAGCUUAAGAAGUCGGUGUUAUGUUUCCAAGAAUCAAAAGUGGAGGAUGUCUUGUGUUCGUUUCUC